GACGAACGCUGGCGGCGUGCCUAAUACAUGCAAGUAGAACGCUGAAGGAGGAGCUUGCUUCUCCGGAUGAGUUGCGAACGGGUGAGUAACGCGUAGGUAACCUGCCUGGUAGCGGGGGAUAACUAUUGGAAACGAUAGCUAAUACCGCAUAAGAGUAGAUGUUGCAUGACAUUUGCUUAAAAGGUGCAAUUGCAUCACUACCAGAUGGACCUGCGUUGUAUUAGCUAGUUGGUGGGGUAACGGCUUACCAAGGCGACGAUACAUAGCCGACCUGAGAGGGUGAUCGGCCACACUGGGACUGAGACACGGACCAGACUCCUACGGGAGGCAGCAGUAGGGAAUCUUCGGCAAUGGACGGAAGUCUGACCGAGCAACGCCGCGUGAGUGAAGAAGGAUUUCGGAUCGUAAAGCUCUGUUGUAAGAGAAGAACGAGUGUGAGAGUGGAAAGUUCACACUGUGGCGGUAUCUUAACAGAAAGGGACGGCUAACUACGUG
rnacentral:rRNA from 1 species